GCAGUGGAGGUUCAGUGGUAGAAUAUUUGCCUUCCAUGCAGGAGACCCAGGGUUCGGUUCCCUGCCAAUGCA
rnacentral:tRNA from 1 species